rnacentral:piRNA from 1 species
UAGUUGGAUAUAAUUUGUAGUUGCAGCCUG